rnacentral:sRNA from 1 species
UUUGCAAUGAAACAACACAAGCCUUCGAAUCUAUAUUUCUAAAGCAAUAAACGAAAAAAACACAGAAUCAAAUAUGAAUCCUUUAUAUCGAAGGCGAUGGUAAUUCAGGAAGAGAAACACAGAAGACAAACUUACAACGCCAGAGAAGGCCACGAAGAUCCACAAGCUUCUUCUUUGACGAUGGAAUUACUAUAAAACUAAAACCAUAAAAUAAAAUAAAAUAAAAUAGGACUUUUGGGAAAACAAAUAUUCUAAUUUAUAAUUUGCCCAAAAUAAACAAUUGUUUACAAAUUUAAAAAGGGAAAAUCACAUUUUUAUGAAUGAGAAAUAAACUAACAGAUCUAUGCUUUAUCUUCAAAUUUU